GUCCCACAUGUGCCCUGUGUCUCAUCGCAGGAUGUGGGAUGUGAGAAGGGCCCAGUCUGAACAAGCAGUCAAUCCCUGUGAAACUCUGAACUUCAGAUCUCUCAGUUCCAGUGCCCUCCUUUGCACAUUCUCCCAGAGUUUGAAGUCCUUUAUGUUCUGCGGUGCACAAUCAGGCACUUGUUCUUGUUAUACUUUAUGCACUUGGUGCUUAGUACCAACUGGUACCCACUUCUCUGACUUGUCCACAUCUCUCUGCAAGUCCUCUCCACCCUCAGUGGAGGCAACAGCACCUCCUCAUCUGGUCUCAUCAGCAAACUUGCUCAGAACGUCUUCUAGUCCUGCAUGCAAGUCAUC